rnacentral:rRNA from 1 species
UACGUAGGGGGCAAGCGUUGUCCGGAUUUAUUGGGCGUAAAGAGCGUGUAGGCGGUUUGGUAGGUCCGUUGUGAAAACUCGAGGCUCAACCUCGAGACGCCGAUGGAAACCAUCAGACUAGAGUCCGGAAGAGGAGAGUGGAAUUCCUGGUGUAGCGGUGGAAUGCGCAGAUAUCAGGAAGAACACCCGUGGCGAAGGCGGCUCUCUGGAACGCAACUGACGCUGAGACGCGAAAGCGUGGGGAGCAAACAGG